AUAAUAUACAAUACAUAAAACUUCUCUGUUGUAGGACAGUAUGUUUUAAAUGUCUUUGAAAGUGUAGUCUUUGUUCAUGUCUAGAUCCACACUCCAGUGUGUACUGUAAUAAUAAUACUUUCCUUAUUAAUAUUUGGAAGUUUCUCAGUCCUCCUACCAGCAUUCUCUAUGGAGUAAAUUUGCCUAACAGAAACAGCUGUAAGAGCUGGAAUCAAGUUGUACAUAGAGCUGUUUAUAGCAAAUAUAGUUUCCUUACGCCUUAUGCUUGUCACAACAAGGCACACUCCACAAUUACAGUCAGAACCUUGGUGGGUUAGUCACUUCCUCAAGUCCCAGAAAAGAAACUUGUACUUUAUUGUGCUUUUUAUUUUUAUUAAAUUCUCUUAGUCUGGUUUGCUCAGCCUUAAUACCUGAACUACUGUUUAGCUCUACCCUUGAAUAUGUGUUAAGCAUUUUUAGUAAUUGCUCUGUGGGUGAAUAGGCCCAUUCUAGAUCAAUAUGUUGUUUCAUGUGCUCAUCAGCUGAAGAGAAAACCUGAUACCAGUUCAACAAAUAUUCCCUGCCUCUUGCCCCAUUAACAAAUUGGUGGGAUUACCAGAGGUUUGCAAGUUUUGUCUCUCUAUUCCUUACCAAAUAUUUGAAUCUGUGUGACUUCUUAAUGGAAGUUUUUCUCUGUGGUACCUGAAAAUAUCGCUGUCAGCUAUUUUUAGGAAAUUACUGGUUUUAGUCUUUUACAUAAUAACCCUACUAGAAACAACAUGGAUACUAAUGCAAUAACAUUUCUGAAUUUAUUAGUGCUUAAUAGAUGAACAACUAUGUUAUAAGAAGCAACUGUACUGCCUCUCAUUCAGUGCAGAAAUGUCACCUCUGUGGGAGAGUCCAAAAAACAUCAAUGUUCAUGUGCUACAUGAAGCAAGACAGUGGAUACAGCAGCUGGAGCCUGGUCGAGGCUGCAAUUUGCUGAAAGGCUUAAAACAUGUCCUUAUGAUGAAAGAACUCAAUUCUCUGGUUCUUAUUGUAGGAAGCUGGUAAAUUUGUUAUCUGUCCUGACUACCAGUUUUAACUUGGGUACAGAAUUGGCUCAAGAAUCUGAACCU
rnacentral:lncRNA from 1 species